CCCAGGCGCCUGAACUGGGCGUGGCCGGCAUCCCACCUUCCGCCGGGUUGCGGAUGAGGCUCUUGCUAAUAUCCAAGGCCCAGCUCAACUAUCAGAGAGGUGGAAAGGAAGAGGAAUAUGCCCCUGCCUUUGAGGAGGGACCUGAGUUUGAAUCCCAGCUUGGCGAACAUUUCCUAGUUUUAGAUUUUACCUCUUGCCUACUACAAAGGAAUGUGAAGACCUAGAUCUUAUACUGCCUUCCACAUUUUUUCUGUGCUCAUUAUGUUUAUAUCAUCAUUCUGCAUUUACAAUCCAAGAACUGUGAAACAGAUUACUCAAGCUGAGUCAGGAGUGUACUGUGAUUAUGAUUCCUUUGCUAGAUGUUCUGUUUUUCCUAGGGUAAGUGUUGCUUAUUUUUUUGUUUGCUUAAUCUUCUAUGCAUAUUUCACUAAUUAUUCCCAUUAAUCUUUCCUUGAAGUGAAAAACAAUCUCAAGAUUUGGUUUCCCAUUCAGCCACAGCAACUCAGGAUCUGAGCUGUGUCUGCGACCUACACCACAGCUCAUGGCGAUGCUGGAUCCUUAACCCACUGAGCAAGGCCAGGGAUCAAACCCGAAACCUCGUGGUUACUAGUCGGAUUCAUUUACCGCCUUGUUGGGAUCCUCAUCCAAAUAAACCAACUAUACAAAGGCAUUUUAAGGGCCACACCCUAAAGACAACUACCGUGUACAUAAAUCAGCAUGUUUAUGAGCUUUCUCUGAGUGAAACGAGCAGCAGUUGGAUACUACUCAGAAGACCAGCAGGCAUGGGAAGAGGAAGGAAGGGUGAAGAUAAAAGAAGGAAGUUUUGAAACCUCACAGAGAAAGGAGUACAAGACUUGACAGGGUUGUACUUGACGGGCGACGAACAGAUAAUACUCCUUUAUCAGUUAUUACAAGGUGGCAAAAUUCCCUGUGCUAUACAGUAAGUCCUUGUUGCUUAACUUUUUUAUGUAUAGUAGUUUUUAUCUAUUAAUCCCGUACUCCUAAUUUGCCCCUCCCCCUACUCCUCUUCGGUAACCCUAAGUUUGUUUUCUAUGUCUAUGAGUUGUUUCUGUUUUGUAGACAGAUUCAUUUGUACUACUUCUUAGAUUCCACAUAGAAGUGAUAUUAUAUAGUAUUUCUUUCUCUGUCUGACUUAUUUUAUAAAACAUAAUAUUCUCUAGGUGUACCCAUGUUGCUGCAAAUGGCAGAAUUUCAUUCUUUUUUGAGCAACAUGGCAUUUUUUCCCUCCAUGGAACUCUUCUUGCCUGGUGCCCUUAGAGAAUUCUGUCCAUCUUCA